AACAGAACAUUCAACUGAUGAUCUGAAUUGGGUAACAUCUGCAAGGUUAAGUUGCCUUUUUCUCUCCUGGACUGGGAUUUUCCUAGUUUUUUUCACUUGAGAAGGAUAAAUCCCCAGUUCAGCUGGUUCUUUCUGUUUUAUUCCUGGCUUGACUUCUUUCCUUACAUAAUCAUCUUAUUGAAUAUCUCCAUGUUCUUGAAGGUAUUAUCUCUAGCAAUACACCACCACUAUGUUCUCCAUUUCACUGUUGAGGAAGCGGCAGAGAGAGGUUAAGUACUUGCUUAGAUAGAUUGGAGUGAAAGUGGCAGCUUUCGAAUCCAGGCAGCGCGACCUCAGAGCCCGCACCGCCAAGUGUUCCACUGGGCAAGGAAAUCAAGAAAAUCAAAAGAACAAUCUCGUGAUUUCUUCAAGGAGCCGGGCGAGUUUGGAGAACAGUGAUGAGUUCAAGAUACAGAAGGAGCAGAGGGAAGUGGUAUUAAAAAGGCUUCAGAAACUGGCAACGAAGUUUGCAAAAAACUUUUUUUUUUUUUCCGAAAAAACUUUGCACUUCUCGGGGCUAGAUUACCCAGCCCAGAAGGCGGGCAGAAAAUACCCGGACGAAAACAACCUGUUUUCUGAAACCAAACCCAGGUGAACCUUAAAACAAGUCGGAAGUGACGUCACUAGCUGUGUUGCCCGGUUAGUGGGAUUACGAGGCGGUGUGGAAUUCCGGCCGGACGUGACGCAAAGGAAGUUACGCCCUGGUGGAGGUACCUGGUUGUAGUGGGCGUCAAGAUGGGCGGAGCGGUGCUUCUGCGAUCUGCUCUGAGCUUUGGGUCCAGGACAGUUUUGCAGAACACUGAUAUCUAUGGAAUCUAAUAUGGACGUCAUUUAAAGAAACCCACGGACCAUUCAUGGACAAAAACAUGAAUCAAUUUGAUUUGUGGCAUUCAAAUCAUAGCACUUUGGGAAAGCAUCAAGUACCAAGUUUUUGAAGACCAUGGCUUACCACCAUAAUGCAUUCAAGAUCUGAGUUUGAAUAACCUCAAGACUUAGAUCCUCUUCAAAAGCUUCAAGUUUCAUCUGCAAUAAAGUGCUGCAUUGAACCCUAUCACAAAAAGUAAAAGCUUUUAGGGACAAAGGUUUAUUAAUAAAUUCCAUUUUAUAUCCUUUCA